CUGCAAUGCUAGGGUUUCGUUAACUUCAAUUUCUUCUUGCUGAUUGCGCAGGUUGUAACAUUCAAGGUAUGGAUCGGGUGGUGGCAACUGUGACUGGUUACUAUGAACCUGACCGAUUCAACCUUAUUAAGCUGAUUUCGUAUGCCUGUGCUAAUUACGUUGGGAUGAUGUCAAAAUCAAUAACGCAUCUGCUCACUAUGAUGCAAACGCCGGACAAUAUUUUGAUAUCAAAGCUUGACGAACGUAUGAAGGUAUUCGAGACAAUUGGCCCAGAGUUCUAUCAUGUCCACGGAGGAGAAGGUCUGAAUUCUUCCUUUCAACCAUUUCCUUCCCCUGUGCAUAUCAAAUUUCACAAGACGCCAAUUUUGCUUUUCCUAAUCUUAGAACUCUAGAAUCACACAAUUAUCCUAAACAUAAAGAACCCAAACCUAGCCAUCUUUCUUCCCGAGAAUAAUUUGAAUAGAAGGUUGUGCUCAUCUGUUGGAAACACCACCUACUUUGCAUUGGCUGACAUCAAUUACUUAUCCAUGAAGGAGGUUGAAGAUUUGGUGCCAUCACUCAAAUAGUUGUGUGUGUGUGUGUGUCAUUGCUAUCAGAGAUUUGGUGCAAAUGCGUGAAACUGAGACAGUGUGGAAUUGGUGGAGUUGUCAUUGGAACACAACAAGUUUGUUCGGCCUGAGACAGUGUGGAAUUGGUGGAGUUGUUAUUGGAACACAACAAGUUUGUUUGGCCUCUUCUUGACUACAGGCUUUUGACUUAGAUGGUUGUUGUGAAUUUGUUUGGACUUCAUGUAAAAUAUAUGAUUUUGUUAGUUGUUCUUUGCUUCAGUUAUCUAA